GCAUUCAUGCCUCAUGGACACCAUCUCCUUUUAUCAUUGUGACAACCUAGAAAGAAGGCAUGGACUGAACCCCCAUAUGGGCCGUGCCCCGACGCAUGCCAGACUGGAGGAGGUGAGGCCACUGGGCCCAGGUCUCUGCUCAGUGUGGGGAUGGAGACAGGAGCGAGGCCAGUCAGGUUUAAUAAAGGAAGUCGGGGGGCACUGACAGAACUGUGCUCAGCACACAGAGGGACACCAGGAGAGACAGAGCAUUGUGAGUGAGGGCAGAAGGAGGUCAGGGCAGCUUAACAGACGAGGUGCCCCCUGGUCAGACACAUACACACACGUAAACAUACACAAAGCUCCCCACCAUUCCACACACACACACAAAUACGUACUCCACUCUAACACUCACACAAUAUCCACACUCACACAUGCAGAUUUAUGUAUCCGGAAUUGGUGGGUUCUUGGUCUCACUGACUUCAAGAAUGAAGCCGCGGACCCUCGCAGUGAGUGUUACAGUUCUUAAAGGUGGUGUGUCCGGAGUUUGUUCCUUCUGAUGUUCAGAUGUGUUCGGAGUUUUUUCCUUCUGGUGGGUUCGUGGUCUUGCUGGCUCAUGAGUGAAGCUGCAGACCUUCGCGGUGAGUGUUACAGCUGUUAAGGCCGCGCAUCUGGAGUUGUUCAUUCCUCCUGUUUCAUUCCUCCCGGAGCGAUCUCGGUUCACCACAACCUCUGCCUCCCGGGUUCAAGCGAUUCUCCUGCCUCAGCUUCUCGAGUAGCUGGCACUACAGGUGUGCGCCACCAUGCUGGGCUAAUUUUGGAUUUUUUAGUAGAGAUGGGGUUUCACUAUGUUGGCCAGGCUGGUCUUGAACUCCUGACCUCGUGAUCCGCCCACCUUGGCCUCCCAAAGCUCUGGGAUUACAGGCGUGAGCCACUGCACCCAGCCGUGUUUUGUCCAAUUCUUUGUUCAAGAUGCCAAGAACCUGGACACCCUCCACCGGUGACAGUACCUUAUAUACACGGAAUCAUACAGUAUCUGUCCUUUUGAGUCUGGCUUAUUUCACUUAGCAUAAUUGUCAGAGGUGCGUGAACCAGAGCAACUCCAUCUUGAAUAGGGACUGGGUAGAAUAAGGCUGAGACCUACUGGACUGCAUUUCCAGUUGGUUUAGGCAUUCUAAGUCACAGGAUGAGAUAGGAGAUUGGCUCAAGAUACAGGUCAUAAAGACCUUGCUGAUAAAACAGAUUGCAGUAAAGAAACUGGCCAAAACCUACCAAAACCAAGAUGGCAACAAGAGUGACCUCUGGUGGUCUUCAACGCUAUACUCCUACCACAUGCUGUGUCGACAUCAGGGAGUUAACUGUAUAUGGUCUACAAAGCAGAGGCAUGAAUAAUCCAACCCUUGUUUAGCUUAUAAUCAAUAAAUAACUGCCUGGGCCAAGUGGCUCGUACUUGUAAUCCCAGCACUUUCAGAGGUCGAGGUGGCUGGAUCACUUGAGGUCAGGAGUUCGAGACCAGGCUGGCCAAUCUGGAGAAACCCCCUCUCUACUAAAAACACAAAAAUUAGCUGGGCAUGCUGGCAGGCACCUGUAAUCCAGGAGAAUCACUUGAACCCGGGAAGCGAGGUUGCAGCCUCCCACGUAGCUGGAAUUAAGGCGCGGACCAGCACACCUGGGUAAUUUUUGUAUUUUUAGUAGAGAAGGGGUUUUGCCAUGUUGACCAGGCUGGUCUCAGAUUCCUGACCGCAGGUGAUCCGCCCAAAGUGCUGGAAUUACAAGUGUGAGACUCAUCU
rnacentral:lncRNA from 10 species